CCCACCGGGGCGCGGCCGGAGCUGGAGGUGCCCCAAAACCCCCGAGGCGCCCCCAGCUGAGGCCAGGGACCCCCCUUCUGCCCGCAGCUCUUCGAGACAAACUAAAAAGGAGUGUGCCCCGUGUGAGGGGACGCAGGUGGCAGCCUGGGCUUUGAGGCCCUCGUGUCUCCGCUCCUGCAGCCGCGCUCCAGGCCCUGUCAGCAAACCCUAGGGAAGGCCGAGCGUCCUCUGCUGCUCUUCCAGCACCACUCCUUUCCUUAACAAACAAAGGAUGCGCCUGGGGGAAUCCAAACCCCAAAUGCAGAGAAGAUAACCCUGGUAACUUCUGAGCCCUGGAUAUCUGAGCAGGAUGGCAUCCCAGAAGAGAGAUCUUAAGGGCUCCUCCAUACAAAUACCCAAAGACAAACCCCUUCUCCCUAAGCUGGUUGUUGUCCUCAGAGCUGGUCUGAGAUCUUGCCUGGGCUGCAGGCUGGGAGGUAUGGGAACUGCUGAGGCCAGGUCCAGCUGAAGUUACACCACUGAAAACAGUGAUGGAAGCCCUUCGGUUCAGACACAAAAGAACAAACUGACACGAGAGUUAUUUUGAAGGGACCGUGAGGUGCUCCAAGUAUUGUGUCACUGCAAUGGGGAGAAAGCACGACUUACUGAAAUGAACCAGAAAUAGCUCUUUUGUUGCUGUGCUUGCUGAUUGAUGGAGGAAAAGCAAUACAAAACUUGCUGCUUGUAACAGAUUGGCAACCACGGCACAGGAAGAAAGCUCAGGGAAGCGGGGACACUGCCAACAAGCAAAGGAACACCAGCCAUGCUGCCUGCUGCCCACAUCACCCCCACUUUAUUUAAAUGGCUUUCAUGCAGGUGUUUGGAUCAGAUAAAACAUCACAAACGUCAGAUCUUUAAGGUGGAAGGGGUCAGAGUGGAGGUGGCUGCUCUCAUGCCCCGGUGUUGUCGCACUUGGCAGCAAGUGGCACAGAUACAAAGGCGAUCACUCACCUUUUGGGCUGAUCCUUUUCAAAUUCCUUAUUGCCAGUUGAGUGAGGCUGGGAUGGACAACUGACGUGGGCCAGACGGACAGACGGUCUGCCAUGGCUUUGGCAGUGCCACAGGAUGGUGACAAACAGCAUGGAGCAGCAGGGCCGAGAAAAAGCAGCACGCACUCAAGGGAGACACAAUAAAACCCUCUCACACUAGAAAAGAGCUGGCACUUUAUUAACAUUUUGUAACUAAUAAAUACAUUACCGACAGCCAAUAAAUUAUUAUACUCGCUAACGCUCUAUUAAACCAACGGACAGUCACUCUUCGUACAAAAUUACAGUUAAUACAGGCCGGGCCAUCGAACAUGCAGGAGGAACGGUUCAACAGGGAGGCAGCACGAGGAAGCCCCCGGCGAUCCGUUGGGAAGAGGUCGGUGGCGGAGAGGGGACAGCAGGCAGGGCGGCCCGGAGGCACGGUGAUGGUCACUGUUCCCUUGUUGAGCUGGAGGGAGGGGAAAGGGAGGCGGGGGGAGAGGGCAGUGGGUGUUAAAUCAGGGAAUGGGGUUUUAAUGGGGUGGUGCCUUGUCUUUAAACUUGAGACGCGUGUGAGGCGGAGAGGGUGAGGCUGUCCUGGGUGAGCUAUGGUCCUGGAGCUGGGCUGGUUUGGGGGAAUGAGGUGGUCCCAGAAAGUGAGAGGGGUUGGCACGGUCCUGGGGAGAGGGUGGUGAGGGACCUCGUGCUGGUACCUGCUGUGCUCCCCUCUCCCCACCUGGAGCCCUGCAUUCGGGGGCAGAGCCUCCUGCCAGUGCCACGGGGCAGCCAGGAUUUGGUUGUGAGACUAAUAUUAAGGCUCUGUCAGGGUGUGUGAUGCAGCUGUGGCUUCUGACUUUUUUGGGGGGGGGGUGCAAUAUUGCAAAUCACAGAGAGAGAGAAGGUCCCAGCAGGGGACCUGAGCUGGCUUCUCCCAGCUGCAGGGUGCCAGCUGGGAGGCUCUGGUCCUCCUCCAGCAGAUGCGCUGGCCUUCAAGGGCCAGCAUGCGUGCCCUGCCAUGGGCAGCACGGAUUAAGAUCUCCCCAGAGAGCCCCCAGGCUGCUGGCUUGGACACGAGCAGCCCUGGGAGAAGUCCCUCUACAUAGGCACAUUCUCAGCACAGCCUCAUAUAUAGGUCACAUACCUGUAUCUGUCAGCAUCAAUUACACAGUGCCAUCGCAGGCGCUCAGAAAUUAUCAUGUACAAUCGAGUCUUGGUGCUUUUGGGAGUGUUUCUAUCUGCUCUUUCCUCAGGGGAAAUGGAGGCAAGACCAUGGUCUGCCCUUUUGGGCAGCCUGUGCUGGGGAUGUGCUGGGCUGUGUGUGAUGGGGUCGGGAGUUUCCUGGCCGGUUCAGGGUGGUGCUGUGCAGCACCGUCCCUGCUGACCUGGACACUUCCAUCAAUGGGUAUUUCAGGCUCCUUGGAAAUGGUUGGGGAGUUUUUGGUCAUAGGCCUGAAGCCAAACCUGGCCCAUGACAAAGACACGGACAUAACAGUGCUACUCUUAUCUAACAGAGCUGAUGCUCAGCUUCGUUCCCAGGAGCUCUGCCACAAAUAUCUCGCAUGCCAUGGUGCAGGGUCUGGCAAACUGGGGUGAUCUGGCAAAAGGACAUCUUACGGGGCUAAUCCUCACCUCUUGGGGACUGCUCCUGGCCUGGAAGCAAAGCUCGUUCCAUGCCAUAAUCAAUUAAAACCACCAGAUAUAUUUUAGCACAUGUUACAGUAUAGGCUGCUCUCGUUAAUACUUCUGGUGUCCUUUAAAAUAAAAUCGUGUGUCCUGAGGACAUCCUCCGAGGCCGUCCUCCCCUCUGUGGAGGUCCAGGCUGUGGUCCAGCUCUGGAGCCUGGGGUUUGCCUGCAUUGUGCUGCACCUGGACCCCGUGCCUGCGCCUCGCUGAGAAAGCAAGGAGAGCCCCAAGCAAGGAUGAGGGCAAGCAGCGAAUUCUCACGAACUCCUGAGAGAAAUGGGAGUACUGGGAAGCAUUUUUUGGAGGCUGCUGGGGCACCGCAGGAGGCAGCGGGGAUGGGCCUGCAGAUAGGCGGCCAGAUGGCCCUGCAGAGAGCUUGCACUUCCCUGGGCCACCUGUGAAAGCCAGAGCAAGGUAAGAAAAAAAGCUGGCCUUUGGGAUAGGGAGCUGUAUGUGCAGGUGUGCUUUCCUGGCCUGUAUUUAUUGCUGUAAGCCCCACUACUGCUGUCUCCUAUGUGAGGUGGUUGCACAUCCCAGUGCCUCAUGUAUGGGUUCAUUGCAAGCUUUUCCUUCCACAGGUUUCUCUAUUCUGUUGAAAUUGCUUUUUAAAUAAGGGUCCUAUGGGAAUUUUUUCAUCUUGUGUAUCCACACACCCAACCGUCUCGUUGCUGAUGGAGCACAAGGAGGGUUUCUUUCUUUCUGCUGCUGCCUGAAGCUCACCGUGACUUGUCAGAGCUGCUCUGAACGUGGUGCCACGUGGAUGCUGGUGUUGGGCCGGGUUCUCAAAACCUGCAUCCAUCGAGCCUCCAGCAGGCAUGCUGAAAUCAGGCACCAUUUGCACGUUCCCCUGUUAGCUCUGGAGGGCAGGGAGGUGUACACGCAACGUUUCUAGGCAAUUCCUGCAAGGACUGCCAGGGUUGAGGACUGAGAAAAAGCACUGGGCAAAAAAUUGCCUGCGAAAGGCACAUCUGUCAGAAAGGGCCUGGGAGGGAUGCAGAA